rnacentral:rRNA from 1 species
AUUGAACGCUGGCGGCAGGCCUAACACAUGCAAGUCGAGCGGAGGAAGGGAGCUUGCUCCUGGAUUCAGCGGCGGACGGGUGAGUAAUGCCUAGGAAUCUGCCUGGGGGUGGGGGAAAACGUCCGGAAACGGGCGCUAAUACCGCAUACGUCCUGAGGGAGAAAGUGGGGGAUCUUCGGACCUCACGCGAUCAGAUGAGCCUAGGUCGGAUUAGCGAGUUGGUGGGGUAAAGGCCUACCAAGGCGACGAUCCGUAACUGGUCUGAGAGGAUGAUCAGUCACACUGGAACUGAGACACGGUCCAGACUCCUACGGGAGGCAGCAGUGGGGAAUAUUGGACGAUGGGCGAAAGCCUGAUCCAGCCAUGCCGCGUGUGUGAAGAAGGUCUUCGGAUUGUAAAGCACUUUAAGUUGGGAGGAAGGGCAGUAAGUUAAUACCUUGCUGUUUUGACGUUACCAACAGAAUAAGCACCGGCUAACUUCGUG